UACGAAGGGGGCUAGCGUUGUUCGGAUUUACUGGGCGUAAAGCGCACGUAGGCGGAUUGUUAAGUCAGGGGUGAAAUCCCAGAGCUCAACUCUGGAACUGCCUUUGAUACUGGCAAUCUCGAGUCCGGAAGAGGUGAGUGGAACUCCUAGUGUAGAGGUGGAAUUCGUAGAGUAAUUAGGAAGAACACCAGUGGCGAAGGCGGCUCACUGGUCCGGAACUGACGCUGAGGUGACGAAAGCGUGGGGAGCAAACAGG
rnacentral:rRNA from 1 species